UUAAGUAUCAUUAAUUAAAGCAUGGCAAAUAGUUAUAUGGCAAAACAAUGUUAUCAAGUUUUGAUGUUAUUUGUUGUGCGUUUUUUCUUUACCGGUCAAUGAAUCAAUAUGUAAUGAUUUAUUCUUCAGUGCUGACGGCUGUGAUAUAAUAGUUAAAGACACGAUUCCGACGCAUUUUCAAAUAGAGUUUAAUUCUGAGAAGCAGGCAUUCCUCAGAUGUUUCAAACCAGUUACUCUCGAUGGACAAGUCGUCAGCGGUGUGGCCCUUCUUCCCGAUGUUGCGGUCAUAUUAAUAAAUGGAAAAGAAUUUCAAUUUCUAAAACAGGUUCAGCGAACAGAGAAAAGGAUAAAACCGGUCGAGGAAGCUCUGAGGUUCGUUUUAGGACAACAUGAUCCUGAAGAUAUAUGCGAAAAAUAUAUCAACGACUUUAUAGGUCGAGGUGUUUUUGCGAAAAAAAUGAUCAGAAAUGGAAAAUUCCUCGCGGAAUACCAUGGCGUUUUAUCCAAAGCUGACGACGUGAAGGACAAAGAUACAAAUUACAUAUAUUUCUUUGACUUUAAUGGUGUCAAGUACUGCAUUGAUGCCUCAGAGGAACCAAAACUGUAUCAACCAUCGUUAGGACGGCUAGUAAAUCAUGCAGACAAAAAACAACAGAGAAAUUCAAGAAUAACAUUCAUUGGUGUGAAUAGUGUUCCUUAUCUUGUACUGUUUGCGACUAGAUUUGACUUGUAAUGAAAACUGCGACGAUGAGCCAGUUCAGUCUCCUGUAGAACGCAGAGCGUGUGAAUACCAAAGGAAGGUCUGUAGUUCGAUUGGUCAUGAGAACAAUAGCAGUGGUGUAACAUCGGCUUCCAAACG